CGUAGGUUGAAAACUGCGGGGAUGAGCUGUGGGUAGGGGUGAAAGGCCAAUCAAACUCCGUGAUAGCUGGUUCUCCCCGAAAUGCAUUUAGGUGCAGCGUCGCAUUAGCUUGGUGGAGGUAGAGCUACUGGUUGGUUGAGCGGGACUACAAUCUUAGCAAUGUCAGCCAAACUCCGAAUGCCAUUAAUGUGUUGUGCGGCAGUGAGACUGUGGGGGAUAAGCUUCAUAGUCGAGAGGGAAACAGCCCAGAUCGCCGGUUAAGGCCCCUAAGGGUGUGCUAAGUGGAAAAGGAUGUGGGAUCGCGAAGACAGCCAGGAGGUUGGCUUAGAAGCAGCCAUCCUUGAAAGAGUGCGUAAUAGCUCACUGGUCGAGUGGUUCUGCGCCGACAAUGUAGUGGGGCUCAAGCACACCGCCGAAGCCGCGGUAAUAAUAUUUUGUUAUUGGGUAGGGG
rnacentral:rRNA from 1 species